rnacentral:misc_RNA from 1 species
UUUGAUUUUGGGUUAGAUCUAAUGCUUCUAUUUCAUGGUUACCAUAGUACUUUGGUUAAAAUUUUUUUGGUGUUGUUUACCACCUUAACAUUCUCCAAUGCGCCAUUACACUUGUCAUCUUGAACUAGAUAAAACCUACUUUGAACAUGCUUCAAGGAAGACUUGAUUGAUGUUCAUAUGCUUGGCUGCAGUUAAUAAAAUCAGGUGCUUAACUAGUGUUAAUUAUUUUAUCUGCACUCAACUGGCCUUGUUACUUCAUUCCAGG